GAUGAACGCUGGCGGCGUGCCUAAUACAUGCAAGUCGAGCGAACAGACGAGGAGCUUGCUCCUCUGACGUUAGCGGCGGACGGGUGAGUAACACGUGGAUAACCUACCUAUAAGACUGGGAUAACUUCGGGGAACCGGAGCUAAUACCGGAUAAUAUAUUGAACCGCAUGGUUCAAUAGUGAAAGACGGUUUUGCUGUCACUUAUAGAUGGAUCCGCGCCGCAUUAGCUAGUUGGUAAGGUAACGGCUUACCAAGGCGACGAUGCGUAGCCGACCUGAGAGGGUGAUCGGCCACACUGGAACUGAGACACGGUCCAGACUCCUACGGGAGGCAGCAGUAGGGAAUCUUCCGCAAAGGGCGAAAGCCUGACGGAGCAACGCCGCGUGAGUGAUGAAGGUCUUCGGAUCGUAAAACUCUGUUAUUAGGGAAGAACAAAUGUGUAAGUAACUAUGCACGUCUUGACGGUACCUAAUCAGAAAGCCACGGCUAACUACGUG
rnacentral:rRNA from 1 species